GACGAACGCUGGCGGCAUGCCUAAUACAUGCAAGUCGAGCGAGCAGAUGAAGUGCUUGCACUUCUGACGUUAGCGGCGAACGGGUGAGUAACACGUAAGGAAUCUACCUAUAAGCGGGGGAUAACAUUCGGAAACGGGUGCUAAUACCGCAUAAUAUCUUCUUCCGCAUGGAAGAAGAUUGAAAGACGGCUCUGCUGUCACUUAUAGAUGACCUUGCGGUGCAUUAGUUAGUUGGUGGGGUAACGGCCUACCAAGACGAUGAUGCAUAGCCGACCUGAGAGGGUGAUCGGCCACAUUGGGACUGAGACACGGCCCGAACUCCUACGGGAGGCAGCAGUAGGGAAUCUUCCGCAAUGGGCGAAAGCCUGACGGAGCAAUGCCGCGUGAGUGAAGAAGGCCUUCGGGUCGUAAAACUCUGUUAUAAGAGAAGAACAAAUUGUAGAGUAACUGCUACAGUCUUGACGGUAUCUUAUCAGAAAGCCACGGCUAACUACGUGCCAGCCGCCGCGGUAA
rnacentral:rRNA from 1 species